rnacentral:tRNA from 1 species
GCGGGCGUCGCCAAGUGGUAAGGCAAAGGACUGUGACUCCUUCAUUCGCGGGUUCAAGUCCCGUCGUUCGCC